CUAUACGGCCCAGGAGAAGGACCGCACCAAGUACAUCACUACCUUGCUGGUGCUUCACAGGGAUGGAACAGACUCGAAGUAGGCUACUGCAAAGUUGAAAGCAUCGACGAUGCCUACAUGUUGGUCUCCUGCCUACUGAUCCGUAAUGGCAGCCGUCAUGCUGGUAUGAUCACCUGCGCUGCAUGGCAUCUCCUGGAGGGCGUUGAUAGUUGAUCAUGCCACACAAACAAGAUGAGAAACUCAAACUCCUCAUCGGUAUUCACUCAGGGCAAAGGUGAAAGCCUGACGUACUGGCUCGAGGGACAUGAUCCAAGCUACAAGAUCGACCAAAUCAAGCCACCCAAACAAAACUUGUUAACAACCAGAAUAUUAUCCCAACAUUAUCUGCAACGCAUUUGGAUCAGCAAUUUUUUGUAAAGAGGUGAUGGCAGAUCUACCAGCUCACUUCACAUCAGAGAGCUCUCUUGAGAAGCA